rnacentral:rRNA from 1 species
ACGGCUCAGUAACACGUGGUCAAACUACCCUGUGGAUCAGGACAACCUCGGGAAACUGAGGCUAAUCCUGGGUAACGCUCCCGAGCUGGAGUGCUGGGAGCCGGAAACGCUCCGGCGCCACAGGAUGUGACUGCGGCCGAUUAGGUAGACGGUGGGGUAACGGCCCACCGUGCCGAUAAUCGGUACGGGUUGUGAGAGCAAGAGCCCGGAGAUGGAAUCUGAGACAAGAUUCCAGGCCCUACGGGGCGCAGCAGGCGCGAAACCUUUACACUGCACGAAAGUGCGAUAAGGGGACCCCGAGUGCGAGGGCAUACAGUCCUCGCUUUUGUACACCGUAAGGUGGUGUACGAAUAAGGGCUGGGCAAGACCGGUGCCAGCCGCCGCGGUAAUACCGGCAGCCCAAGUGAUGGCCGUUAUUAUUGGGCCUAAAGCGUCCGUAGCCGGCCGGACAAGUCCGUUGGGAAAUCCGCUCGCUUAACGAGCGGACGUCCAGCGGAAACUGUUCGGCUUGGGACCGGAAGACUCGAGGGGUACGUCCGGGGUAGGAGUGAAAUCCUGUAAUCCUGGACGGACCGCCGGUGGCGAAAGCGCCUCGAGAAGACGGAUCCGACGGUGAGGGACGAAAGCUAGGGUCUCGAACCGGAUUAGAUACCCGGGUAGUCCUAGCCGUAAACGAUGCCCGCUAGGUGUGGCGCAGGCUACGAGCCUGCGCUGUGCCGUAGGGAAGCCGUGAAGCGGGCCGCCUGGGAAGUACGUCCGCAAGGAUGAAACUUAAAGGAAUUGGCGGGGGAG